CAGGAUGAACGCUAGCGGCAGGCUUAACACAUGCAAGUCGAGGGGCAGCGCGAGUAGCAAUACUUGGCGGCGACCGGCGCAAGGGUGCGUAACGCGUGAGCAACAUGCCCGUAUCAGGGGGAUAAUCCAGGGAAACUUGGUCUAAUACCCCAUAGUAAUUUUGUAAGGCAUCUUAUAAGAUUUAAAGCUUUGGUGGAUACGGAUUGGCUCGCGUGACAUUAGCUGGAUGGUAAGGUAACGGCUUACCAUGGCUAUGAUGUCUAGGGGUUCUGAGAGGAAGGUCCCCCACACUGGAACUGAGACACGGUCCAGACUCCUACGGGAGGCAGCAGUGAGGAAUAUUGGACAAUGGAUGGAAAUCUGAUCCAGCCAUGCCGCGUGAAAGGAAGAAGGUCCUAUGGAUUGUAAACUUCUUUUGUAUGGGAGCAAUAAGGCCUACGAGUAGGUUGAUGAGAGUACCAUACGAAUAAGCACCGGCUAACUCCGUGCCAGCCGCUGC
rnacentral:rRNA from 1 species